rnacentral:rRNA from 1 species
UUCAACUUGAGAGUUUGAUCCUGGCUCAGAGCGAACGCUGGCGGCAGGCUUAACACAUGCAAGUCGAGCGGGCAUCCUUGUGGUGUCAGCGGCAGACGGGUGAGUAACGCGUGGGAACGUGCCCUUCGGUUCGGAAUAACUCAGGGAAACUUGAGCUAAUACCGGAUACGUGCGAGAGCAGAAAGGUUUACUGCCGAAGGAUCGGCCCGCGUCUGAUUAGCUAGUUGGUGAGGUUAUGGCUCACCAAGGCGACGAUCAGUAGCUGGUCUGAGAGGAUGAUCAGCCACACUGGGACUGAGACACGGCCCAGACUCCUACGGGAGGCAGCAGUGGGGAAUAUUGGACAAUGGGGGCAACCCUGAUCCAGCCAUGCCGCGUGAGUGAUGACGGCCUUAGGGUUGUAAAGCUCUUUUCUCCGGGACGAUAAUGACGGUACCGGAGGAAUAAGCCCCGGCUAACUUCGUGCCAGCAGCCGCGGUAAUACGAAGGGGG